rnacentral:rRNA from 1 species
AGGUUACCAUGCAGUCGAGCGGGCGUUACAUACGAGAGCGGCAGACGGGUGAGUUCCGCGUGGGAACAUACCUUUUGGUUCGGAACAACACAGGGAAACUUGUGCUAAUACCGGACAAGCCCUUACGGGGAAAGAUUUAUCGCCGAAAGAUCGGCCCGCGUCUGAUUAGCUAGUUGGUGAGGUAAUGGCUCACCAAGGCGACGAUCAGUAGCUGGUCUGAGAGGAUGAUCAGCCACAUUGGGACUGAGACACGGCCCAAACUCCUACGGGAGGCAGCAGUGGG